GUGAGGGCGACCGAGCGUGGAAAGGAAGCGUGGAGCGUAAACCGUGAGUCGAGGUACACGAACCUCAUCUGAGGCGCUGCCGAGCAGGGCGAGCAGGCAAAAGGCUGCGAAGCUCUUGUGGUCAAGGCGAGGUGGCGUAAAUGGGGCGACUGUGCGGUGAAGGAUCGCGUUC
rfam:Variovorax sp. HW608 genome assembly, chromosome: I